GACGAACGCUGGCGGCGUGCUUAGCACAUGCAAGUCGAACGGUAAGGCCCUUCGGGGUACACGAGUGGCGAACGGGUGAGUAACACGUGGGUGAUCUGCCCUACACUUCGGGAUAAGCCUGGGAAACUGGGUCUAAUACCGGAUAGGACUCCGGACUGCAUGGUCUGGGGUGGAAAGCUUUUGCGGUGUGGGAUGGGCCCGCGGCCUAUCAGCUUGUUGGUGGGGUGAUGGCCUACCAAGGCGACGACGGGUAGCCGGCCUGAGAGGGUGACCGGCCACACUGGGACGGGGAUACGGCCCAGACUCCUACGGGAGGCAGCAGUGGGGAAUAUUGCACAAUGGGCGCAAGCCUGAUGCAGCGACGCCGCGUGAGGGAUGACGGCAUUCGGGUUGUAAACCUCUUUCAGCACAGACGAAGCGCAAGUGACGGUAUGUGCAGAAGAAGGACCGGCCAAAUACGUGCCAGCCGCCGCAGUAA
rnacentral:rRNA from 1 species